CCUGCACAGUGCUUCGGCAGGAGGGAAACUCGCCUGCCGGGAGCUCUCGGGUUUGGGAGCAUCCACCCUGAGGAUUUCAGGUAUCAAAACCUCGGACAAAAAGAGAAAAUUGUCUUGCUACCUGAAUACUUCUUGUAAGAGCAGCACCUGUGGUGUGAAGCGUUGAAGGGAGAAUGUCUUUCCUUCUCUGGAGUUGCUGAGAACAGGCGGUGUUCAUUUUAGCUGGAAGUUGAUCGGGUACCAGCCAAAUUGCUCAUUUUAUUUUAGAUAAUCAGAUCUUGGCUGUAAAAGAACAAGUUGCAUUUUCUGUUUCAGAGUCCUAUUCUGGAGAUACGACAGAGUGCUGCCCGUGUCACCUCUAGAGCUGCCCAUGAGCCGAUAGAGGAUCACAGCCUCCUCUCGUGGUCCUGCACGGCUUAGAGAAAAGGACCUGCUGCACAGGAAGUGGCACAGUAAUGGAUUUGAGCUGUCUAGAACGUUACUUCUCCUCCCCUUGCCUCUCCCUGACAAAAAAAAUCUCUUCUGCAAGCACAGAGUGCCCUGACAGGUUCAGGCAAGUGCACCAAAAGUGCCCUAGAAUAUGGUCCCCCGUAGGAGAUGGACCAGCUGCUGGUGAGGAUCUGCCUUUCAAAUGUGGUUUUCUUUUCUUUUUUUUCUUUUUGUUCUGUUUCAUUUUGUUUUUCAGGUUUCUGGAGAACCAGGUGAUAAAUAAAAUGAUUUCCUUACUCCAUCCUUUGUGGCUAAUAAAUUUAGGAGACAAGAGAGAAAACAGGAAUCGAUCCCAGAUGCUGCUGUUGAGAUGGGUAUAUGAUCUACCUGUAUAUAGAUAUAUGCGUAUCUAUCUAUAUCUGUGUAGUGAUAAUAAUGGGAGUUUUUAUGAUACGUUGCUUUACUGUCUUCUAUUUUUAAUAAAGUGCGAUUUUAAGUUAUUAGGUAUAACAUUUUA